rnacentral:rRNA from 1 species
GCUUGUCUCAAAGAUUAAGCCAUGCAUGUCUAAGUAUAGUACCUUAUACUGCGAAACUGCGAAUGGCUCAUUAAAUCAGUUAUAAUUCAUUUGAUGGUACUUACUACUCGGAUAACCGUAGUAAUUCUAGAGCUAAUACAUGCUGAAAAGCCCGACUUCGGAAGGGUUGUAUUUAUUAGAUAAAAAACCAAUGCCCUUCGGGGCUCUUUGGUGAUUCAUGAUAACUUCUCAGAUCGCACGGCCUUGCGCCGGCGACGGUUCAUUCAAAUUUCUGCCCUAUCAACUUUCGAUGGUACGGUAUUGGCCUACCAUGGUUUCAACGGGUAACAGGGAAUUAGGGUUCGAUUCUGGAGAGCGAGCCUGAGAGACGGCUAGCACAUCCAAGGAAGGCAGCAGG